UCGGGAAUUUUGGGCAAUGGGCGAAAGCCUGACCCAGCAACGCCGCGUGAGGGAUGAAGUAUUUCGGUAUGUAAACCUCGAAAGAAUGGGAAGAAUAAAUGACGGUACCAUUUAUAAGCUCCGGCUAACUACGUGCCAGCAGCCGCGGUAAUACGUAGGGAGCAAGCGUUGUUCGGAUUUACUGGGCGUAAAGGGCGCGUAGGCGGCGCGGUAAGUCACUUGUGAAAUCUCUGAGCUUAACUCAGAACGGCCAAGUGAUACUGCUGUGCUAGAGUGCGGAAGAGGCAACCGGAAUUCUUGGUGUAGCGGUGAAAUGCGUAGAUAUCAAGAGGAACACCUGGGCGAAGGCGGGUUGCUGGGCCGACACUGACGCUGAUGCGCGAAAGCCAGGGGAGCAAACG
rnacentral:rRNA from 1 species